rnacentral:rRNA from 1 species
UACCAGCACCCCGAGUGGUCGGGACGAUUAUUGGGCCUAAAGCAUCCGUAGCCGGUUUUACAAGUCCUCCGUUAAAUCCAACUGCUUAACAGAUGGGCCGCGGAGGAUACUAUAAGACUAGGAGGCAGGAGAGGCAAGCGGUACUCAGUGGGUAGGGGUAAAAUCCGUCGAUCCAUUGAAGACCACCAGUGGCGAAGGCGGCUUGCCAGAAUGCGCUCGACGGUGAGGGAUGAAAGCUGGGGGAGCAAACCGG